CAGUAGCCGCGGGAAUACGGAGGGAGCUAGCGUUGUUCGGAAUCACUGGGCGUAAAGCGCACGUAGGCGGCUAUUCAAGUCAGGGGUGAAAGCCCGGGGCUCAACCCCGGAACUGCCUUUGAAACUAGAUAGCUUGAAUCUUGGAGAGGCGAGUGGAAUUCCGAGUGUAGAGGUGAAAUUCGUAGGUAUUCGGAAGAACACCAGUGGCGAAGGCGACUCGCUGGACAAGUAUUGACGCUGAGGUGCGAAAGCGUGGGGAGCAAACAGGAUUAGAUACCCCCGUAGUCCCUGUCUCUUAUAA
rnacentral:rRNA from 1 species